UACUUCUUUGUCUACUUGUUUAAUCUUUUGUGCUGAAGGCUGUUAAUCUGAGUUGUACAACUUAUGAAAUGGUUAAAUGACUUUCUAAGAGAUUAAGUACGUAAUGUAAAAAUCAAAGCUUGUUGUCCAGUAAUUAGCUUACCAACAAAUCAAGGGAUUAAUAUAUUAUACGUGUAAAGUAAGUUUGAUAGCAUGAAGUAACUGUUCUUUCUAUGUUUCAAAACUGAUGCUUGAUCCACUAGAUGUCUACAAAGUUUAUAGUUUGAACUUUAAUAACAUAACUAUAGCGUAAGUUCAUGUCUACAAAGUUUAUAGUUUGAACUUUAAAUAACAGACCUAUAGCAUAAGUUCUUAAACUUGGAAAUAUAUCAAAUACUGGUAACUUAUGUUUGAAAAACACAUUUCUCAUAAUGGGCAGAUAUAGUAUCUGUUUCAGUUGCUGACAUAAAAAUCAGCUGAAAAUAAGUUUUGACUAUCUUGGUCUUCAUAUUCUGUUGUAAAUCUGCUUUCCUGAGUGUUGUUUGGACCUUGUAAAGCUGUUUGUUUCCUUGAAGAUGUCUAAUAUUACUGUAUGCUUUUUUAAUGUAUCAAGUUAGUGGUCUCAUGUUGGCUAGCCAUACAAGUAUCCGCCACUUAUUCAGCAAGUGUUUUGACCCAGUAUGAUAAAUUGAGAAAGAGACAAGCCUUUCUUGACAAUUAUAGGAAUCAUCCAACAUUUGUUUCAAACACCUUCACAUAAAUUGGGAUGAAGGGAGCAUGAGGUUUUCCGAAGAUUAUUCCUCUUAUUACUUUGUGGAUAAUGCACGAGUCAAGGAAAGAUUGGAAUAUAUUGAAAUAGACCAGCGGGAAUACACAUUGGCGGUUGAAGACAUAAAGGUGCAAGAAGUGAUUAUGAAACCAAAGCCUUCUAAAUAUAAUACAAUCAUAUUAACGAAGAGUAAUGUGUUUUUAUAUAUUUAUGUUUUGCAAAUUAAAAUUCUAAUCAGUAUCAAUUUAGUUUAUCUUACAUACUAAAAAUA